rnacentral:rRNA from 1 species
AUUGAACGCUGGCGGAAUGCUUUACACAUGCAAGUCGAGCGGCAGCGCGGGGGCAACCCUGGCGGCGAGCGGCGAACGGGUGAGUAACAUAUCGGAACGUACCCAGUCGUGGGGGAUAACUAUCCGAAAGGAUAGCUAAUACCGCAUACGUCCUGAGGGAGGAAGCGGGGGAUCGCAAGACCUCGCGCGAUUGGAGCGGCCGAUAUCGGAUUAGCUAGUUGGUGGGGUAAAGGCUCACCAAGGCGACGAUCCGUAGCGGGUCUGAGAGGACGACCCGCCACACUGGAACUGAGACACGGUCCAGACUCCUACGGGAGGCAGCAGUGGGGAAUUUUGGACAAUGGGGGCAACCCUGAUCCAGCCAUUCCGCGUGAGUGAAGAAGGCC